AUAAAAAAUAACUAUUAUUUAAAGGGUAUAAUAAAUCGAAAAAAGAUGAAGACUAACCCCCUAUAGCUACGAAACUAAGCAGAAUCGGACCUAUGUUAAUAUGAAAAAUAAAUCUUAUUUUUACGAGAGGAAUCGCAUCACGAGAGAUGACCGCAUGUUUUUUGAAACACCCUAUAUAGAUACAUUUCGCGAGCCAAGUUCGCCAAGGUUUAACGCAACAUAAGAAAAACACUGAAAUUUUCCGUGGUAAUUCGGUUAGUAUGGUAAGUAUAGUUAGUAACUUCGACUUCUGUCAACUUACAGAAGUAUUUUGCCAGGGAACUUCUUGCGAGUAGUCUAGAAAAGGUUUACGUUUUUCAUCGGGCUUCCCUUCGAAGCUUGACGAAAAGAUAACUUUUGCUAUUAAUUAUUCAUAAUUUAAUUGCCUAAAGGGUCCUAAUUUAUGCAUUCGAUUAUUGGCAAGAUAUAUAAGGUUGACGAGGCAGUCUUAAAUUUAUUAUUUUUUUAUUUGAAUUUAAUUUGAAUAGUAAGCAUUUACUUUACAGAUUUGAGAAGCUAAAAAAACAAACUAAUAAAAUAAUACAAUUAUUUCUUGGACUAACCAGGAGCAAAAUUAUUUGCAAAAACAUGUUGAAAUUUGCAUCAUAGCUGAAAUCCCCUACGAAUUUAAAUAAAUUAAUUUUAACUUUGACACUUUUAUUUGGUACUUUUUUGUUUUCAAUUUUUUUUUCCGUAGCAAUGUCAAUUAAACGUGGGAGACCACUACACCCAGAGAAAAUCUAAUUAUUUUAUUUUCACGUACAUACUGUCAAAAAUGGAUGUUUAUCGUAUUUUUCAAUCCCAUUUUGUAAAUGCUGUAUCAGACCUACUAACAGGUUUUAUUUUGUUACCCUUAUACUGUUCUGAUUAAAAAUGAUCGAUUAAUUUUUGUGUUGCGUCAGGAAAUGUUGGUUAGGAAAUUUUCAGUGUUUAAUUAUUCUUUUUUCUGUUAUUAUACUGAUACUAAUAAUAGCGUUGAUUAUUAAUUUGAUUAAAAAUUAUUAAUUUUUGUGUUGCGUCAGGAAAUGUAGGUUAGGAAAUUUUCAGUUUUUAAUUAUUCUUUUUUCUGUUAUUAUACUGAUACUAAUAAUAGCGUUGAUUAUUAAUUUGAUUAAAAAUUAUUAAUUUUUGUGUUGCGUCAGGAAAUGUAGGUUAGGAAAUUUUCAGUGUUUAAUUAUUCUUUUUUCUGUUAUUAUACUGAUACUAAUAAUAGCGUUGAUUAUUAAUUUGAUUAAAAAUUAUUAAUUUUUGUGUUGCGUCAGGAAAUGUAGGUUAGGAAAUUUUCAGUGUUUAAUUAUUCUUUUUUCUGUUAUUAUACUGAUACUAAUAAUAGCGUUGAUUAUUAAUUUGAUUAAAAAUUAUUAAUUUUUGUGUUGCGUCAGGAAAUGUAGGUUAGGAAAUUUUCAGUUUUUAAUUAUUCUUUUGUCUGUUAUUAUACUGAUACUAAUAAUAGCGUUGAUUAUUAAUUUGAUUAAAAAUUAUUAAUUUUUGUGUUGCGUCAGGAAAUGUAGGUUAGGAAAUUUUCAGUUUUUAAUUAUUCUUUUAUCUGUUAUUAUACUGAUACUAU